CUUCUUAGUUCAGUUGGUAGAGCAGAGAACUGGAGGGAGUGAGCAAUGGCAAUCCAUAAGUUGCUGGUUCAAUUCCGGCUCAAAGG
rnacentral:tRNA from 1 species